UACGAAGGGGGCUAGCGUUGUUCGGAAUUACUGGGCGUAAAGCGUGCGCAGGCGGUUUUGUAAGUCUGUCGUGAAAUCCCCGGGCUCAACCUGGGAAUGGCGAUGGAGACUGCAAGGCUAGAAUCUGGCAGAGGGGGGUAGAAUUCCACGUGUAGCAGUGAAAUGCGUAGAUAUGUGGAGGAACACCGAUGGCGAAGGCAGCCCCCUGGGCUAAGAUUGACGCUCAUGCACGAAAGCGUGGGGAGCAAACAGG
rnacentral:rRNA from 1 species